rnacentral:rRNA from 1 species
UACGGAGGGUGCGAACGUUACUCGGAAUCACUGGGCGUAAAGCGCGCGUAGGCGGUCUGUUAAGUGGGAUGUGAAAUCCCCGGGCUUAACCUGGGAACUGCAUUGGUGACUGGCAGGCUUUGAGUGUGGCAGAGGGAGGUAGAAUUCCACGUGUAGCAGUGAAAUGCGUAGAGAUGUGGAGGAAUACCGAUGGCGAAGGCAGCCUCCUGGGCCAACACUGACGCUCAUGCACGAAAGCGUGGGGAGCAAACAGG